CCCUAUUGCCUCUUCCAUCGACACCCACAAAAUCGCAUCCCUCCCGUUUCCAUCCAAAAUUACUGAACCACCUCCGACUAGCACAUCCACUUUUCUGUGAAGCUACGAUUGAAGCACUGUAACCCACCGUACAUCUUCAAGCUACGAUUGUUGUCGUUCUUUCUCUCUCUCUCUCUCUCUCUCUCUCUCUCUCUCUCUCUCUUUUACUCUUUUUCUCGUUCGAUUUGGUUUAAAUCAACAAAAGAGCAAAAAUCGUGAUUUGGUUUGUGAAUUAUCACCGGAUCGAUGCAAUAGGGAUUUAGGCUUUAAGGUAGGAAACCGAGAACCGGGCAUCAGUGGAGGCGGUGGUUGUUGGAGGAAGGGAUUUAAUUAUCGCCAUCGUCAAGAUUGGGACUCAAUUUGACUGUGUGCUUCAUCGAUUCAGUCGACCCUAUUCUCUUAGCUAUCAUCGAUUUCUCCCAGGUCUCCCAGCCUGACAUAAGUUCCCACGCGUAUAUACCUCACCUGAAGGUCCAACUAUAGCGAAUAACUCCAACACCAACAAUGAAAAUCUAUUUUCUUCAUUGAUUUGUGAUAUCAAAACCUACAAUGCCGCAUAUCCUCUUCUCUCAUCGCUCCGAUAAGCACAAAACCCUAAAUCUAUUUUUCAUGCAGUUCCUUGUCACAAAUUGAACUCUGUUUUCUUGUAGCAACUAUGCUUAGAUUGAAAAAUCAUUUAUAUUUAAUAUUUAUGUUAUUGUUGUGUAUGUGAAGUUGGAUUUUGUUGAUGACCCUAGUGUUGUUCUAGAGAACAUGAAAGCGAAUCACAUUGGGAACAAGAGGUCAUUAUUUUACCAGGCUAUGCUCUUUAUUAUGAGAAAUUGAAGAAAGUUACUGAUGCUGAAGGAGUGCAAAAAAGUUGAUGCUUGAAGAACAGACCACAAAAUUGAAAGUGAUUCUAAGCAACAUUAUUCUUUUAGAAUGUAUUAGUGUCUUUGUUAGAUUUUGAUGUUUUCUUUCCCGAUUUGAAAUUUUUUUUAGUUUUAUUCUUUAACAAUAAAUGUAAUUCUUAGUAAUUAUUACCUGUAUUCUAUA